UGCGUUUUGUUAGUUUUGUGAGUUUUGUGCUAUCGUCGAUUAGGGCUUGGCUUAUUAUGUCGACCUCUCCGUUUCCUUCCGAACCAUUGUCCGUUUAUCUCCUUUAUCACAGCGUCAAAAGAUUCUUCAGAGUUGUCUUCCUCCGAUUUUGUAAGAGGAACAAAAUCUUAGCCAACAAGACCAAUCUCGCCAUGGCAGACGCUCUCAGUGCUCUGCAGAUCUUGCAGUUUUAUCUUCUUCGAUCAGUCUGCCAUUCAACCUUCUAUCAGUCUUGGUCGUAUAACAUCUCCUCGAAAACGACUGUGAGUUUUGGGAAUCACACUUCUCUUUGUUGAUGAAAAGCAAUGAUGUGGCAACAACUCGAGUCGUGGUCCGUCUCCUCAUUGACCCGUUAUGAUCUUUACCAAGACCGAUUACUUUCAGAAUCUGGCUCAACCGAAGAUUUUGCAAGAAGGUUUAAACUGAAGGUAUUUUCUGAUGCUGAAUCUUGCCAAAUAGAUUUAGUUCUUUAGCUUUUCUCUUAAUAUGUAUGUUUUUUCUUCCAGCUUAUGUUAUAUAUGUUGCUAUAAAGAAAAGAAGAACCUUAUUUGUAAUACAGCAUGCGAAAAAAUAUUUAAGGUCACCAACAACAUGCUUCCACUCAGUGAAGGGCAUUGUGGAUUAUCAACAGCACCAUCCAGCGAGACUGUUGUUGCGCGAAGGUAGGCAUGGGUUGUGACAUAGCGACCCCACUAGGAAUUGAGAAUUGUGAAGCGUUAACAGGAUUAUCAUAAUUUAUAUGUUGUUUACUCAAUCCAUUAAAACAUGUUCACUGAGAAACACAUGGGGCUUCAACACAGCAUUAUCAUAUCUGUAUUGAACAUUGAAGAUUUCACACUUAAAAACUAUUUUAG